GACGAACGCUGGCGGCGUGCUUAACACAUGCAAGUCGAACGGUAAGGCCCUUCGGGGUACACGAGUGGCGAACGGGUGAGUAACACGUGGGUGAUCUGCCCUGCACUUCGGGAUAAGCCUGGGAAACUGGGUCUAAUACCGGAUAGGACCACUGCCUGCAUGGGUGGUGGUGGAAAGCUUUUGCGGUGUGGGAUGGGCCCGCGGCCUAUCAGCUUGUUGGUGGGGUGAGGGCCUACCAAGGCGACGACGGGUAGGCGGCCUGGGAGGGUGACCGGCCACACGGGGACUGAGAGACGGCCCAGACUCCUACGGGAGGCAGCAGUGGGGAAUAUUGCACAAUGGGCGCAAGCCUGAUGCAGCGACGCCGCGUGAGGGAUGACGGCCUUCGGGUUGUAAACCUCUUUCAGCACCGACGAAGCGCAAGUGACGGUAGGUGCAGAAGAAGGACCGGCCAACUACGUGCCAGCCGCCGCCGUAA
rnacentral:rRNA from 1 species